GAAAGGUUAAAGGAAAACACAUCACCCCGCUCUGUGGCAGGGACCAUCACAAACAGUGUCUCUGGACAUGAGGGCACUUCACAGUCUGUUCUUUGUAGGUCCCAGGCCUCCUUCUCAGGCCCUGGCUGUGCUGCAGGCACGCUGCGGGUCAGACAGUUGCUCUGGUGGUGGCCACACUCUCUCAGGCUCUGGGUGGCAGGACCUUUCUCCCCAGUGUCACCUCUGCUCUGUCAGGGUUAUGAUCCCCCUCCAAGUCUGGCCUGCAGAGCCUCUUGGCUGAGGUGUCUCCUUGUGCUGGGCCCACUACCCAGGGUUCCCCUCGCUCUCCCCAGCUGCUCACCACACCCAGCUCCAGACUGCUCCAGCCGCAGCUCCACACUGCCUCAGCACGGCUGCUGCUGCUGCUCUGCCUUCAGCUCUCUGGGCUGCUUCUCUGGCCUCCCUGGCUCCAGUUGCUACAGCUCUGCUCCCAGGGAAGGUCUGCUCUGCAGGCUGCUUCUGUGUCUCUCUCUCAGCUCUCACCUGCUUCCUGGGCGGCUUGUCUGGCCCCUCUGGCUCUGGUUGCUGCAGCUCUGCUCCCAGGGCAGGUCUGCUCUGCACGCUGCUUCUGUGUCUCUCUCUCAGCUCUCACCUGCUUCCUGGGCGGCUUGUCUGGCCCCUCUGGCUCUGGUUGCUGCAGCUCUGCUCCCAGGGCAGGUCUGCUCUGCACGCUGCUUCUGUGUCUCUCUCUCAGCUCUCACCUGCUUCCUGGGCGGCUUGUCUGGCCCCUCUGGCUCUGGUUGCUGCAGCUCUGCUCCCAGGGCAGGUCUGCUCUGCACGCUGCUUCUGUGUCUCUCUCUCAGCUCUCACCUGCUUCCUGGGCGGCUUGUCUGGCCCCUCUGGCUCUGGUUGCUGCAGCUCUGCUCCCAGGGCAGGUCUGCUCUCUCUGGGCCGUGCUCUGGCUUUAUGGGCUGCAGCUCUGCUCCCAGCAGCUUAGCUUGGGCCCCUACUCUCGCCUUAGCUCGGCCCCACUCUGUCUGACCCAGGCAAUUUCAG
rnacentral:lncRNA from 1 species